rnacentral:rRNA from 1 species
AGAGUUUGAUCCUGGCUCAGGAUGAACGCUGGCGGUAUGCUUUACACAUGCAAGUCGUACGAGAGUUUUUAACUCAAGUGGCGGACGGGUGAGUAACACGUAAGAAUUUGCCUUUAGGAGGGGGAUAACAACUGGAAACGGUUGCUAAUACCCCAUAUGCUUUCGAGUAAAAUGGUUUUUCCGCCUAAAGAGAAGCUUGCGGCUGAUUAGCUUGUUGGUGAGGUAAUGGCUCACCAAGGCGACGAUCAGUAUCUGGUUUGAGAGGACGAUCAGACACACUGGAACUGAGACACGGUCCAGACUCCUACGGGAGGCAGCAGUGGGGAAUUUUCCGCAAUGGGCGAAAGCCUGACGGAGCAAUACCGCGUGAGGGAUGACGGCCUAUGGGUUGUAAACCUCUUUUUUCAGGGAGGAAUCAAUGACGUGUACCUGAGGAAUAAGCAUCGGCCAACUCCGUGCCAGCAGCCGCGGUAAUACGGAGGGUGCAAGCGUUACUCGGAAUCACUGGGCGUAAAGGGUGCGUAGGCUGGCUUUUAAGUCAGGUGUGAAAUCCAAUGGCUCAACCAUUGAACUGCACUUGAAACUGGGAGCCUAGAGUUCAGAAGGGGCAGAUGGAAUUAGUGGUGUAGGGGUAAAAUCCGUAGAUAUCACUAGGAAUAUCAAAAGCGAAGGCGAUCUGCUGGGAUGAUACUGACGCUGAGGCACGAAAGCGUGGGGAGCAAACAGGAUUAGAUACCCUGGUAGUCCACGCCCUAAACGAUGAAUGCUAGUCGUCGGGGAGCUCGUCUCUUCGGUGAUGCACUUAACAGAUUAAGCAUUCCGCCUGGGGAGUACGGUCGCAAGAUUAAAACUCAAAGGAAUAGACGGGGACCCGCACAAGUGGUGGAGCAUGUGGUUUAAUUCGAAGAUACACGAAGAACCUUACCUGGCCUUGACAUGGUAGGAACCCUGUAGAGAUACGGGGGUGCUAGCUUGCUAGAACCUACACACAGGUGCUGCACGGCUGUCGUCAGCUCGUGUCGUGAGAUGUUGGGUUAAGUCCCGCAACGAGCGCAACCCUCGUCGUUAGUUGCUAACAGUUCGGCUGAGCACUCUAACGAGACUGCCUUCGUAAGGAGGAGGAAGGUGAGGACGACGUCAAGUCAUCAUGGCCCUUACGGCCAGGGCUACACACGUGCUACAAUGGGGCGUACAGAGAGUUGCAAUACCGCGAGGUGGAGCCAAUCUCUUAAAGCGUCUCUCAGUUCGGAUUGUUCUCUGCAACUCGAGAACAUGAAGCUGGAAUCACUAGUAAUCUCGGGUCAGCAUACCGAGGUGAAUACGUUCCCGGGCCUUGUACACACCGCCCGUCACACCACGAAAGUCUACAACACCCGAAGCCGGUGGGCUAACCGUAAGGAGGCAGCCGUCUAAGGUGGUGUCGAUGAUUGGGGUGAAGUCGUAACAAGGUAUCC